rnacentral:rRNA from 1 species
AUUGAACGCUGGCGGCAUGCCUUACACAUGCAAGUCGAACGGCAGCGCGGACUUCGGUCUGGCGGCGAGUGGCGAACGGGUGAGUAAUACAUCGGAACGUACCCUGUUGUGGGGGAUAACUAGUCGAAAGAUUAGCUAAUACCGCAUACGACCUGAGGGUGAAAGUGGGGGACCGCAAGGCCUCACGCAGCAGGAGCGGCCGAUGUCUGAUUAGCUAGUUGGGGGGGUAAAGGCCCACCAAGGCGACGAUCAGUAGCUGGUCUGAGAGGACGAGCAGCCAAACUGGGACUGAGACACGGUCCGGACUCCUACGGGGGGCAGCAGUGGGGAAUUUUGGACAAUGGGGGCAACCCUGAUCCAGCAAUGCCGCGUGUGUGAAGAAGGCCUUCGGGUUGUAAAGCACUUUUGUCCGGAAAGAAAUCGCGCUGGUUAAUACCUGGCGUGGAUGACGGUACCGGAAGAAUAAGCACCGGCUAACUACGUGCCAGCCGCCGCCGUAA